rnacentral:rRNA from 1 species
GACGAACGCUGGCGGCGUGCUUAACACAUGCAAGUCGAACGAUGAAGAAGAGAAACGCGAACUUCGGUUCAAAUUUCACUUCGGAUUAGUGGCAGACGGGUGAGUAACGCGUGAGCAACCUACCUCUUACAAAGGGAUAGCCUCGGGAAACCGUGAUUAAUACCAUAUGACACAUUCAUAAGGCAUCUUAAGAAUGUUAAAGCUACGGCGGUAAGAGAUGGGCUCGCGUCCCAUUAGCUAGUUGGUGAGGUAACGGCCCGCCAAGGCGACGAUGGGUAACCGGCCUGAGAGGGUGAACGGUCACAGUGGAACUGAGACACGGUCCAAACUCCUACGGGAGGCAGCAGUGGGGAAUAUUGCACAAUGGAGGGAACUCUGAUGCAGCGACGCCGCGUGAGCGAUGAAGGAAUUCGUUUCGUAAAGCUCUGUUCUAUGGGAAGAAAAGGACUGUACCAUAGGAGAAAGCCCCGGCUAAAUACGUG